GCCCAAGAGACUGGGAUAACACCUGGAAACAGAUGCUAAUACCGGAUAACAACACUAGACGCAUGUCUAGAGUUUAAAAGAUGGUUCUGCUAUCACUCUUGGAUGGACCUGCGGUGCAUUAGCUAGUUGGUAAGGUAACGGCUUACCAAGGNCAAUGAUGCAUAGCCGAGUUGAGAGACUGAUCGGCCACAUUGGGACUGAGACACGGUCCAAACUCCUACGGGAGGCAGCAGCC
rnacentral:rRNA from 1 species